rnacentral:rRNA from 1 species
AUUGAACGCUGGCGGCAUGCCUUACACAUGCAAGUCGAACGGCAGCGGACCUUCGGGUGCCGGCGAGUGGCGAACGGGUGAGUAAUAUAUCGGAACGUACCUUUCAGUGGGGGAUAACGUAGCGAAAGUUACGCUAAUACCGCAUAUUCUGUGAGCAGGAAAGCAGGGGGAUCGCAAGACCUUGCGCUGAUUGAGCGGCCGAUAUCAGAUUAGCUAGUUGGUGAGGUAAAGGCUCACCGAGGCGACGAUCUGUAGCGGGUCUGAGAGGAUGAUCCGCCACACUGGAACUGAGACACGGUCCAGACUCCUACGGGAGGCAGCAGUGGGGAAUUUUGGACAAUGGGCGCAAGCCUGAUCCAGCCAUGCCGCGUGAGUGAAGAAGGCCU